AUACGGAGGAUGCGAGCGUUAUCCGGAUUUAUUGGGUUUAAAGGGUGCGUAGGCUGUGCGUUAAGUCAGGGGUGAAAUGCCGUCGCUCAACGACGGAGCUGCCCUUGAUACUGGCGUGCUGGAGUACGGAUGCCGUUGGAGGAAUGAGUGGUGUAGCGGUGAAAUGCUUAGAUAUUACUCAGAACACCGAUUGCGAAGGCAUCUCACGAAUCCGUCAUUGACGCUGAGGCACGAAAGCGUGGGGAUCAAACAGGAUUAGAUACCCUGGUAGUCCACGCAGUAAACGAUGAUAACUAACCGUCGGCGAUACACAGUCGGUGGCCAAGCGAAAGCGAUUAGUUAUCCACCUGGGGAGUACGUUCGCAAGAAUGAAACUCAAAUGAAUUGACGGGG
rnacentral:rRNA from 1 species